CAGGUUUUAACGCAUCAGAUGCAAACAUAGCAGUUUCAGAGAGACUUGUAUGUUUACAUAGCAGGGUUAAGCCAGCCUCUAGUGGCUGUCUUCCGGACAGCCACGAGAGGCGCAUCUGCGACGCUGGAGGCAUAUUAUGCCUCCAUCACGCAGACCGUCCAUAGGAAAGCAUUGAAAAAUGCUUUCCUAUGGACACUUUGAAU